GACGGGGGAUGCAAGCGUUAUCCGGCAUCACUGGGCGUAAAGCGUCUGUCGGUGGUGAUGCAAGUCACUGGUGCAAAACUCUGGCUCAACCGGAGGAAAGCCAGUGAAACUGCAUGACUAGAGUGUGGGAGAGGUAGAAGGAAUUCCCUGAGUAGCGGUGAAAUGCGUAGAUACAGGGAAGAACACCGGAGGCGAAAGCGUUCUACUGGAACACAACUGACACUGAGAGACGAAAGCUAGGGGGGCGAAGGGG
rnacentral:rRNA from 1 species